rnacentral:rRNA from 1 species
CCUACGGGAGGCAGCAGUGGGGAAUAUUGCGCAAUGGGCGAAAGCCUGACGCCGCGACGCCGCGUGAGGGAUGAAGGUCUUCGGAUCGUAAACCUCUGUCAGCAGGGACGAACGGUCACUGUGCUAAUCAGCAGUGAAUUGACGGUACCUGCAAAGGAAGCACCGGCUAACUCCGUGCCAGCAGCCGCGGUAAUACGGAGGGUGCGAGCGUUAAUCGGAAUUACUGGGCGUAAAGCGCUCGUAGGCGGUAUGGCAAGUCAAGGGUGAAAUCCCCGCGCUCAACGUGGGAACUGCCUUUGAAACUGGCAAACUGGAGUGUGUGAGAGGAUAGUGGAAUUCCAGGUGUAGGAGUGAAAGCCGUAGAUAUCUGGAGGAACAUCAGUGGCGAAGGCGACUAUCUGGCACAUAACUGACGCUGAGGAGCGAAAGCGUGGGUAGCAAACAGGAUUAGAUACCCCGGUAGUC